CACGCGUCUUCUCCGACCAAAGGCGCCUCAGGGCGGCCCGGGUUCCCGCCCCACGGCCUCGGGCGCUGCUUCCGCAGUGAGAACCGCCGCUCCGUUUCCAAAGGUUCCUUGUCUGAGGGAGCGACUGCGGAGGCUGUGGACCAGCCGCCGUGCGUAGGAAGCGUCCUCAGCCGGCUGAGCGCGGAGCGGGGAGAUUCGAGGAUGUUUCUGGGGAGAAAUCCCAGCACGAGCUCAGAGGAAGGGGAGAUCCCUUGAGUGGGACGCGAACACACUCAAUACUCAAUAUCGGGACCUUCGAGGAGAAUGAGCUGGGGACCCGCUUUCCGAGUCAUGUUGGAACCAGAACCCCAGUUCCCUGAUCAGGGAUCAAACCUGUGCCCCCUGCAGUGGA